rnacentral:rRNA from 1 species
UACGUAGGGUGCGAGCGUUAAUCGGAAUUACUGGGCGUAAAGCGUGCGCAGGCGGUUUUGUAAGCCAGAUGUGAAAUCCCCGGGCUCAACCCGGGAACUGCGUCCGAUACUGGGGGGCUUGAAUCCGGGAGAGGGAUGUGGAAUUCCAGGUGUAGCGGUGAAAUGCGUAGAUAUCUGGAGGAACACCGGUGGCGAAGGCGGCAUCCUGGACCAACACUGACGCUGAGGAGCGAAAGCCAGGGGAGCAAACGGG